UACGGGGGGAGCAAGCGUUGUUCGGAUUUACUGGGCGUAAAGGGCGCGUAGGCGGCGUGACAAGUCACUUGUGAAAUCUCCGGGCUUAACCCGGAACGGUCAAGUGAUACUGUCGUGCUAGAGUACAGAAGGGGCAACUGGAAUUCUCGGUGUAGCGGUGAAAUGCGCAGAUAUCGGGAAGAACACCCGUGGCGAAGGCGGCUCUCUGGGACGGUACUGACGCUGAGACGCGAAAGCGUGGGGAGCGAACAGG
rnacentral:rRNA from 1 species